rnacentral:rRNA from 1 species
CCCUUAGAUGUCCUGGGCCGCACGCGCGCUACACUGAUGCACUCAACGAGUUUACGACCUUGCCCGAUAGGGUUGGGUAAUCUUUUUAAAAUGCAUCGUGAUGGGGAUAGAUUAUUGCAAUUAUUAAUCUUCAACGAGGAAUUCCUAGUAAGCGCGAGUCAUCAGCUCGUGCUGAUUACGUCCCUGCCCUUUGUACACACCGCCCGUCGCUCCUACCGAUUGAGUGCUCAGGUGAAUAAUUCGGACUGCAGCAAUGUUUGGAUCCCGAACGUUGCAGCGGAAAGUUUAGUGAACCUUAUCACUUAGAGGAAGGAAAAGUCGUAACA